rnacentral:misc_RNA from 1 species
CCGAGUACUACACUCUCUACCCUUUGUGAACUAUUAUACCUGUUGCUUCGGCGGCGCCCGCAAGGGUGCCCGCCGGUCUCAUCAGAAUCUCUGUUUUCGAACCCGACGAUACUUCUGAGUGUUCUUAGCGAACUGUCA